CAAAAGGGUAAUUUAUUCAGAGACCGUUGAGCCCCCGUGGCUUUCCAAGUUCCGAAAGUGGCUGUUUUUGGGUACGAAAAUGGAAGAGGCUCUCGACAAAUGACGAUUUUGGCGCCAAAAAAAGCACGAGGUCGCUGUCGCGUCUCGAGCCUCGAUGGCUCAAACAAUCCUCUGCAUCAAAAUUGAUAAAUGCCUGACAUGAGAAAGAACGAUCCGAGCCGAUCCCAGCAAUUGCAUUUGGCAUUUGGUUAAGAUGCGAGCCCGAGUUGCAGUCAACAACGCCAAAAGACCACAGAGGCACAGGCCAUCAGAAUGGGAAGUUUUUAAUUUCUGGUCAAUUUUUUUGUCUUUCUGCUUAUCCCUUCUGAAGGCGUCAAUAAAAAAUAUUUUUUCCAUCAUUUCGUACAACGUUGUUUUGUUACCGCCACCGGUUUCACAAAACCGGAUACAAAAUAUGAUUGAAGAAGUCGUAGGUUCCUUUUUGAACUGAGGGAUAUUUCCGAGUCCUCAAAUCAAAUUGGUUAAGGCUGACAGUGUGCCCUCCGAUGUUCGAAGCAUUGGGUUGUUUAGUUGGUUUGCAACUUUAAGGAUCAAGCAGAGGCAUCGGAACAAAAAUUCUCAUAAUCUGAGUAGUCCGGCUCUGGAAUUGGCUUUUUCCUCUUCUAGGGAUACACGUUUUUUUUUUUUUUUAAUUCUAUCAUCCAAUAUUUUGAGAAACCUGGAUGUUACCACUUUUAAGACUAAUCCAGAUCUCAUUGUGUGGGACCACUUAGUACUUGGAAUACAAAUGUUUUACCACCACGUUUGUAUAAUGCAUUGGAUUUGUUCGAUCUGCCCCUUGCAAGUCUCACGUCAAAGUUUAGAAUGUUGUUUUAUGCGGGUCCUUUUUAGUACAAUCUUUAGUUACAAGACUAUGGCUUGACCAGAACUUGCUUGUUGCAGAAUUUGUGUGAUUAGUCCGGCAAGAGCCAACUGAGUGAAUUUAUUCAUUGUGUUGAAGUAAAUGAAACAUUAAAGCACAAUCUACAAAUAAUAUCUGAAUGUUUAAUGAUGCGUCGAGGGAUCAUGAUUUUUUUUUUUAAUAGAAGUUAAUUUAGAGAAUGGUACAAAGCCUGAAAAACAAUAUUUUAUAAUAGAUUAUAACUUAGUAAAUUAAAUGAUUCUUGUUAAUGCACGCGUGAAUAACGACUUUACUAUACAGGUUCAAAUUGCGGUCACGUUCAAUGAAUUCAAAUCAAGUGCCCAAGUUGCUGAGUGCUAUAAUAUCAAAAGGCAUAACUAUAGGUUGGAAUACCACUGGUAUGGCAUUUCCAGCCGAGAAUCAUCUUGUCUUGUGCUCGAGGAUGUCGAUUUUGAUCUUAGCUUCUCUGUGUAUCCAUUUCAAGCAUAUUCUCAGCUUCUUGUUCAUAUACUUAAAUUUUGAAGAAAAGAUUAUUAAAUUUUCAUCUCAGCUUCUUGUUCACAUUC